rnacentral:rRNA from 1 species
UACAGGGGGUGCAAACGUUGCUCGGAAUUAUUGGGCGUAAAGCGCGCGUAGGCGGCUACCUAAGUCGGAUGUGAAAGCCCCUGGCUUAACUGGGGAAGUGCACCCGAAACUGAGUAGCUAGAGUGCGAAAGAGGGUCGCGGAAUUCCCGGUGUAGAGGUGAAAUUCGUAGAUAUCGGGAGGAACACCGGUGGCGAAGGCGGCGACCUGGGGUCGACACUGACGCUGAGGCGCGAAAGCGUGGGGAGCAAACAGG